rnacentral:rRNA from 1 species
AUUGAACGCUGGCGGAAUGCUUUACACAUGCAAGUCGAACGGCAGCACGGACUUCGGUCUGGUGGCGAGUGGCGAACGGGUGAGCAAUGUAUCGGAACGUGCCCAGUCGUGGGGGAUAACGUAGUGAAAAUUACGCUAAUACCGCAUACGAUCUAUGGAUGAAAGCGGGGGAUCGCAAGACCUCGCGCGAUUGGAGCGGCCGAUAUCAGAUUAGGUAGUUGGUGGGGUAAAGGCCCACCAAGCCAACGAUCUGUAGCUGGUCUGAGAGGACGACCAGCCACACUGGAACUGAGACACGGUCCAGUCUCCUACGGGAGGCAGCAGUGGGGAAUUUUGGACAAUGGGCGAAAGCCUGAUCCAGCCAUUCCGCGUGCAGGAUGAAGGCCCUCGGGUUGUAAACUGCUUUUGUACAGAACGAAAAGGUUUCUACUAAUACUAGGAGCUCAUGACGGUACUGUAAGAAUAAGCACCGGCUAACUACGUGCCAGCAGCCGCAGUAA